rnacentral:sRNA from 1 species
AGCCCGCCUGACUCCUAGCAGGAGGGGAGGCGGGAAAGCAGCUCAAGCCUCACCCACCGCCCUGCCCCCAGCCCCGCCACUCCCAGGCUCCUCGGGACUCGGCGGGUCCUCCUGGGAGUCUCGGAGGGGACCGGCUGUGCAGAGAACUUCAGCCAAAGCAUCUGAGACAGGAAGCAGAAAAAGGAGGGACAGUUUGGAGAGCAGCUGUGUACGCCAUGGAGUUGGUGCUGGUCUUCCUCUGCAGCCUGCUGGCCCCCACGGUCCUGGCCAGUGCAGCUGAGAAGGAGAAGGAAAUGGACCCUUUUCAUUAUGAUUACCAGACCCUGAGGAUUGGGGGACUGGUGUUCGCUGUGGUCCUCUUCUCGGUUGGGAUCCUCCUUAUCUUAAGUCGCAGGUGCAAGUGCAGUUUCAAUCAGAAGCCCCGGGCCCCAGGAGAUGAGGAAGCCCAGGUGGAGAACCUCAUCACCGCCAAUGCAACAGAGCCCCAGAAAGCAGAGAACUAAAGUGCAGCCAUCGGGUGGAAG